rnacentral:lncRNA from 1 species
UUGGAGUUUGGCUUCCAUAUCCUCUGCCUCGUCAGAAACUUCAUAAUUUCGAAAUACUUCUGACAACGCCUUGGGUUGGGAAUCACCUUCUAAACGUUGAAAAACGCUUCGGGAAGUAUUUUUUCUUGUUGCCUGCUUAAGCCUUUCGCGGGCUUCUCUUUUAAUUAACUCGUGAUCAACAAGGACUCCAGCUGGGGGAAUCUUGAGUUCACAUUUACACUGGCAUUUACUACACAUAACCAACCCUUUGAUUAUGGC